rnacentral:rRNA from 1 species
AUUGAACGCUGGCGGCAUGCCUUACACAUGCAAGUCGAAUGGUAACGCGGGGCAACCUGGCGACGAGUGGCGAACGGGUGAGUAAUAUAUCGGAACGUGCCCAGUAGUGGGGGAUAGCCCGGCGAAAGCCGGAUUAAUACCGCAUACGACCUACGGGUGAAAGCGGGGGAUCGCAAGACCUCGCGCUAUUGGAGCGGCCGAUAUCAGAUUAGGUAGUUGGUGGGGUAAAAGCCUACCAAGCCAACGAUCUGUAGCUGGUCUGAGAGGACGACCAGCCACACUGGGACUGAGACACGGCCCAGACUCCUACGGGAGGCAGCAGUGGGGAAUUUUGGACAAUGGGCGCAAGCCUGAUCCAGCCAUGCCGCGUGCGGGAAGAAGGCCUUCGGGUUGUAAACCGCUUUUGUCGGGGAAGAAACGCUCUGGGCUAAUACCCCGGGGUAAUGACGGUACCCGAAGAAUAAGCACCGGCUAACUACGUGCCAGCAGCCGCGGUAAUACGUAGGGUGCAAGCGUUAAUCGGAAUUACUGGGCGUAAAGCGUGCGCAGGCGGUCUUGCAAGACAGAUGUGAAAUCCCCGGGCUUAACCUGGGAACUGCAUUUGUGACUGCAAGGCUGGAGUGCGGCAGAGGGGGAUGGAAUUCCGCGUGUAGCAGUGAAAUGCGUAGAUAUGCGGAGGAACACCGAUGGCGAAGGCAAUCCCCUGGGCCUGCACUGACGCUCAUGCACGAAAGCGUGGGGAGCAAACAG